AAGUCGUAACAAGGUUUCCGUAGGUGAACCUGCGGAAGGAUCAUUACCGAGUAAGGGCUCCCUUGUCGGGGCCCGACCUCUUCACCGUGCUGCAUCGGACCCUGUUGCUUCAGCGGGCUGGAAGGUGAUGCUCGCCAUCAUCUUUCACCGUCAUGCCCGCUGGAGACCCAUUUAAUGCUGAAACAAUGCCGUCUGAGUGGGAAUUCAAAUCUAGUCGCAAAACUUUCAACAAUGGAUCUCUUGGUUCCG
rnacentral:misc_RNA from 1 species